CGACUAUUGCCCGUACUAUAAAAGUCUUACCUUACUAAUGCUGUAACGACGCCACUUUGAGACAGUUUUUGACUAGCUUGGAAUCUUAAAUUAAAGCAACCAAACAAAAUGUCUGGAGUUGAUAAAAAGAAAGCUGGCCAGCCCGCUCAAGCAGCCCCACCAAAGCAGGACGCUCCACAGGGAGGCAAUAAAGGUGGUCAAGGUAAACCAGCACCCAAGAAGUGAACGAGAGAGCGCGAGAAAGAACGAGAGGUGUACAGCCAUCUUGUCCAAUUAGUCACUGCAUCUUAAUUUAUGUUUUCUUUUGUCAAUGAGCUUCAUAAUGUACAAAGUGCAUUCUCUUUAUCCUUUGAUUUGCAAUGAGAAGAAUUAAAUAAUGUUAUGUUAAACAGGAA
rnacentral:sRNA from 1 species